rnacentral:rRNA from 1 species
GAUGAACGCUGGCGGCGUGCUUAACACAUGCAAGUCGAGCGAAGCACUUAUCAUUGACUCUUCGGAAGAUUUGGUAUUUGACUGAGCGGCGGACGGGUGAGUAACGCGUGGGUAACCUGCCUCAUACAGGGGAAUAACAGUUAGAAAUGGCUGCUAAUGCCGCAUAAGCGCACAGGACCGCAUGGUCUGGUGUGAAAAACUGAGGUGGUAUGAGAUGGACCCGCGUCUGAUUAGGUAGUUGGUGGGGUAACGGCCUACCAAGCCGACGAUCAGUAGCCGGCCUGAGAGGGUGAACGGCCACAUUGGGACUGAGACACGGCCCAGACUCCUACGGGAGGCAGCAGUGGGGAAUAUUGCACAAUGGGGGAAACCCUGAUGCAGCGACGCCGCGUGAAGGAAGAAGUAUCUCGGUAUGUAAACUUCUAUCAGCAGGGAAGAAAAUGACGGUACCUGACUAAGAAG